rnacentral:tRNA from 1 species
GGUUCCAUGGUGUAAUGGUUAGCACUCUGGACUCUAAAUCCAGUAAUGUGAGUUCAAAUCUUGGUAGAACCU